UACGGGGGGGGGCAAGCGUUGUUCGGAAUUACUGGGCGUAAAGGGCUCGUAGGUGGCCAACUAAGUCAGACGUGAAAUCCCUCGGCUUAACCGGGGAACUGCGUCUGAUACUGGAUGGCUAGAGAUUGGGAGAGGGAUGCGGAAUUCCAGGUGUAGCGGUGAAAUGCGUAGAUAUCUGGAGGAACACCGGUGGCGAAGGCGGCAUCCUGGACCAACACUGACGCUGAGGAGCGAAAGCCAGGGGAGCAAAGCGGG
rnacentral:rRNA from 1 species